AGGACCGCCGUAAUGAUUAAUAGGGAUAGUCGGGGGCAUCAGUAUUCAAUUGUCAGAGGUGAAAUUCUUGGAUUUAUUGAAGACUAACUACUGCGAAAGCAUUUGCCAAGGAUGUUUUCAUUAAUCAGUGAACGAAAGUUAGGGGAUCGAAGACGAUCAGAUACCGUCGUAGUCUUAACCAUAAACUAUGCCGACUAGGGAUCGGGCGAUGUUAUCUUUUUGACUCGCUCGGCACCUUACGAGAAAUCAAAGUUUUUGGGUUCUGGGGGGAGUAUGGUCGCAAGGCUGAAACUUAAAGAAAUUGACGGAAGGGCACCACCAGGAGUGGAGCCUGCGGCUUAAUUUGACUCAACACGGGGAAACUCACCAGGUCCAGACACAAUAAGGAUUGACAGAUUGAGAGCUCUUUCUUGAUUUUGUGGGGGGUGGGGCAUGGCCGUUCUCAGUUGGGGGAGUGAUUUGUCUGCUUAAUUGCGAUAACGAACGAGACCUUAACCUGCUAAAUAGCCCGGCUAGCUUUGGGUGGUCGCUGGGUUCUUAGAGAGACUAUCGGCUCAAGCCGAGGGAAGUUUGAGGCAAUAACAGGUCUGUGAGGCCCUUAGAGGUUCUGGGCCGCACGCGCGCUACACUGACAGAGCCAACGAGUUCAUCACCUUGGCCGAAAGACGCUGGGUAAUAAUGUAGUAUCAGGAUC
rnacentral:rRNA from 1 species